UACAGAGGGUGCGAGCGUUAAUCGGAUUUACUGGGCGUAAAGCGUGUGUAGGUGGCCGCGUAAGUCGAUUGUGAAAGCCCGGGGCUUAACCCCGGAAUUGCACCUCAAACUACAUGGCUAGAGCAUUGGAGAGGGUAGCAGAAUUCAUGGUGUAGCAGUGAAAUGCGUAGAUAUCAUGAGGAAUACCAGAGGCGAAGGCGGCUACCUGGACAAUUGCUGACGCUCAGGCACGAAAGCGUGGGGAGCAAAAGGG
rnacentral:rRNA from 1 species